CCUAGCAACCGUAGAAAUAUGAGAAGCUGGGUUAUACGCUCUUUCAUGAGGGCAACAUGGUUGUCAUAAAAUACAACCAUAACACCUAAUGUGUGAAGUGGUGGUGAUAAAGUAAUGAGUGAAAGGGCUAUGCUCU
rnacentral:sRNA from 1 species